UACGUAGGGAGCAAGCGUUGUUCGGAUUUACUGGGCGUAAAGGGCGCGUAGGCGGCAAUUCAAGUCAUCUGUGAAAUCUCCGGGCUUAACUCGGAACGGUCAGAUGAUACUGUUUUGCUAGAGUGCAGAAGGGGCAAUCGGAAUUCUUGGUGUAGCGGUGAAAUGCGUAGAUAUCAAGAGGAACACCUGAGGUGAAGACGGGUUGCUGGGCUGACACUGACGCUGAGGAGCGAAAGCCAGGGGAGCAAACGGG
rnacentral:rRNA from 1 species